GAUGAACGCUAGCGGCAGGCCUAAUACAUGCAAGUCGAACGGUGUAGCAAUACACAGUGGCGCACGGGUGCGUAACACGUAUGCAACCUACCUUACAUUGGGGGAUAGCCUUUCGAAAGGGAGAUUAAUACCGCAUAAGACAGUAACUAGGCAUCUAGUAGCUGUUAAAGAUUUAUCGAUGUAAGCUGGGCAUGCUUCCAAUUAGUUAGUUGGCGAGGUAAUGGCUCACCAAGACGAUGAUUGGUAGGGGAACUGAGAGGUCAAUCCCCCACACUGGCACUGGGAGACGGGCCAGACUCCUACGGGAGGCAGCAGUAGGGAAUAUUGGGCAAUGGGCGCAAGCCUGACCCAGCCAUGCCGCGUGCAGGAAGAAGGCGUUAUGCGUUGUAAACUGCUUUUAUACAGGAAGAAACGACCCUUGCGAGGGGCAUUGACGGUACUGUAUGAAUAAGCACCGGCUAACUCCGUGCCAGCAGCCGCUGUAAAAC
rnacentral:rRNA from 1 species